UUUUCCUCCUCCUAGCCCCCCCUCUCUCAUGGAAGUGUGCCCGAAAGCAAAGGAUCUCCUUGAUAGGGAGACUCAUAGGGGUUCAAACCCCCUCACUUCCU
rnacentral:tRNA from 1 species